AUGAGUUGGGCGCUGCCGUGCUUGUGCUGUCGGGGGAGUCUCCCGCCUCCUCUCCAUCUGCAUUGCCUCCCCUCCUCUCCAUCUCCUCACCGUGUGGACCAGGGCUCUGUAAAAACCCUCCAAAAUCAGCUGCACCGCCCACCCAGGAGAUUGUCCUGCUGGCAGCGCAAGUUCAUUCAAGUCCACUGGGGAGGCGCCAGUGGGUUUUUUUUUGCUUCUGUGAAGAGUUACUAGAGCUUGCCACAUCCAAGGAGCUGAGCUGAGGGAUCCUGCUGGAAGUGAAGAAUUGGCAUCCUGUUGGGCCUGAGACAGGAUGCAGCAGGGCUGUGAAAUGUGGAAAAAUUAAAAUCAUUCUGUGAAAUCAGUGUCCAGGCUGUUCUCAGGUCGUGCGGAGAGGGACCCAUGGGGAAAAUAUCAGUCCUCUUACAGCUGAGAGAGAACAGUCUGCUGUGGACUCUGCCAGAUGUAUCCUGUUUUUU
rnacentral:lncRNA from 1 species